rnacentral:rRNA from 1 species
GGUUAAGCGACUAAGCGUACACGGUGGAUGCCCUGGCAGUCAGAGGCGAUGAAGGACGUGCUAAUCUGCGAAAAGCGUCGGUAAGGUGAUAUGAACCGUUAUAACCGGCGAUGUCCGAAUGGGGAAACCCAGUGUGAUUCGUCACACUAUCGUUAACUGAAUACAUAGGUUAACGAGGCGAACCGGGGGAACUGAAACAUCUAAGUACCCCGAGGAAAAGAAAUCAACCGAGAUUCCCCCAGUAGCGGCGAGCGAACGGGGAGCAGCCCAGAGUCUGAAUCAGCUUGUGUGUUAGUGGAACGGUCUGGAAAGUCCGACGGUACAGGGUGAUAGUCCCGUACACCAAAAUACACAGGUUGUGAACUCGAAGAGUAGGGCGGGACACGUGGUAUCCUGUCUGAAUAUGGGGGGACCAUCCUCCAAGGCUAAAUACUCCUGACUGACCGAUAGUGAACCAGUACCGUGAGGGAAAGGCGAAAAGAACCCCGGCGAGGGGAGUGAAAAAGAACCUGAAACCGUGUACGUACAAGCAGUGGGAGCACCUUCGGGUGUGACUGCGUACCUUUUGUAUAAUGGGUCAGCGACUUAUAUUCUGUAGCAAGGUUAACCGUAUAGGGGAGCCGCAGGGAAACCGAGUC